rnacentral:rRNA from 1 species
AGUGAACGCUGGCGGUAGGCCUAACACAUGCAAGUCGAACGGCAGCACAGGAGAGCUUGCUCUCUGGGUGGCGAGUGGCGGACGGGUGAGGAAUACAUCGGAAUCUACUCUGUCGUGGGGGAUAACGUAGGGAAACUUACGCUAAUACCGCAUACGACCUACGGGUGAAAGCAGGGGAUCUUCGGACCUUGCGCGAUUGAAUGAGCCGAUGUCGGAGUAGCUAGUUGGCGGGGUAAAGGCCCACCAAGGCGACGAUCCGUAGCUAGUCUGAGAGGAUGAUCAGCCACACUGGAACUGAGACACGGUCCAGACUCCUACGGGAGGCAGCAGUGGGGAAUAUUGGACAAUGGGCGCAAGCCUGAUCCAGCCAUACCGUGUGGGUGAAGAAGGCCUUCGGGUUGUAAAGCCCUUCUGUUGGGAAAGAAAUCCAGCUGGCUAAUACCCGGUUGGGAUGACGGUACCCAAAGAAUAAGCACCGGCUAACUUCGUGCCAGCCGCCGCAGUAA